GCAGUCGCCACGGUAAUACAGAGGGUGCAAGCGUUAAUCGGAUUUACUGGGCGUAAAGGGCGCGUAGGUGGUUAUUUAAGUGAGAUGUGAAAUCCCCGGGCUUAACCUGGGAACUGCAUCUUAUACUGGGUAACUGGAGUGCAGUAGAGGGUAGUGGAAUUUCCGGUGUAGCGGUGAAAUGCGUAGAUAUCGGAAGGAACACCAGUGGCGAAGGCGGCUACCUGGACUGAGACUGACACUGAGGCGCGAGAGCGUGGGGAGCAAACAGGAUUAGAUACCCCCGUAGUCCCUGUCUCUUAUAC
rnacentral:rRNA from 1 species